AUAAAUACCGGCUUCUCUGUUGAAUUAAAAACUUUACUUCUACCUUCAUCAAGCUUUCUAAGUCUUUUCCUUUCCCCAUAUCUUCUCAUUCGCCACCCGUUGAGUCAAUUCCGUUAGUACCAAAACACCAAUUUUCAUCUAUUUAAUUUCCGCUUCCUUCUAUCUAAAUCAGUGGCAAAAACCUCCAAGAUCGUCCCAUAAAAGGAGAAAGCUUCUUCCUCUUCUUCCUGGCAGGCUGGUGACAAAACAUCGGUAGAACCGCUCCCUCCAUGAGUAUGUUCUCGGCCCUUGCAUCCUAAAACUUGGCUU
rnacentral:lncRNA from 1 species